UACUCUGCUAAAUAGCCAGGCUAACUUUGGUUGGUCGCCGGCUUCUUAGAGAGACUAUCAACUCAAGUUGAUGGAAGUUUGAGGCAAUAACAGGUCUGUGAUGCCCUUAGAUGUUCUGGGCCGCACGCGCGCUACACUGACAGAGCCAACGAGUUCUUUUCCUUGUUCGAAAGAAUUGGGUAAUCUUGUUAAACUCUGUCGUGCUGGGGAUAAAGCAUUGCAAUUAUUGCUUUUCAACGAGGAAUGCCUAGUAAGCGCGUGUCAUCAGCAUGCGUUGAUUACGUCCCUGACCUUUGUACACACCGCCCGUCGCU
rnacentral:rRNA from 1 species